GUUUAAGUAGAUUAGUAAAAAUCGUAUCAAUGAAGGUGAUGAGACGGCAUAGUGCUCUUAGACA
rnacentral:tRNA from 1 species